CUGAUUGAAUCUUAAAUCAUCCGUGGUCGUAAGUAAUAACGAGAUAUGGAUAUAGUUAUUACGGAUAGACCAUCACGUGUGACAUUUCUUACUUGUGAAAUAAGUAGCUGAUCUCACAAGCUAAAGUGUGGUGACACUUAAAUGACACGUGGAUAUUUUGUUAUAGAACAAAAUAUUGGAGACCCGCCGAGAGAUUCCACAUGGAUAACAAUCUGAGUGUCAGUGGUUAAUCUCUAACGUUCAGUAGUAGAAUUGGUCCUUAGACUUGAGGUCGUCAUGAUACCUUAUAUGAGGACAGUCAUACUUUGACGGUGUUGGAUGUUGCUCUGCAAAGGGUAGCUAAUACGACAUCGUUCAGAUAAGUCAAAAAUCUUAUGAAGGUUGUGAUUGACCAAUAAAGGAUUCGUCACUCUUAGAUAGUAGGGGAUUAUGAUCUGCGUUUCAUUCAAUUAAGUCGAUAACAAAAUCCUUGGCCAAGGUGUACUCAUAAGUCGAAAAGGAGUUUUCGACUUAUAUUAACUUAAUAGUGGAGUGAAAAAUAUGAUCGAUAAUCGAGAUUGACACACUUCCAUAUCUCGUAAUUGAUCGGAUCAUAUUGACGAAGGGAUUAUAGUUUCACGGUAAACCAACGAGUUUGGUUUUGUUACACCACAUGACAUUUUUCGUCAUAUGUAUUGCCCUGACACAUUGCUAGAUGUCAAUCAGGGACGGCGAGGGUGAAUUGACGAUAAAUUAAAGGGGUGUUUUAAUUUAUCAAUUUUGAUUAGAUCAAAAUAAUAUUUCACGUCGUUAGGUAUCGUGGUCAGGAACCUAAUGGGUCGCACACAAAAGAGAAUUGGAAGAUUGCAAAUUACCAAUUGAUUAAUUUAACAAUCGUUGAAUAAAUUAAUUAAUUGGAUUUGUUAUUUAUAUUUCCGAAUUAAUUAAUUGGAUUAAUAAAUUCACGGACCGGGUUUAAUUAAAUGGAUUAAUUAAAUAUUGGACCGGAUCGGGUCGAGUCCGUUUGGGUUUAUAUAAAUACAUGGUUAGGGUUCGAGAUCCAUAUGGUUUUCAUUAUUCUUGCUGGCACAAGAAAAAAACCCUGGUAGUUGCAAUCUUGUUCUUUGUGUGGAUCACCGUUAGAGGCUGGACAAUUGGACAGCUGUGGGUGGCGAAUCAAGAUUGCUGGAACGAAAAGAAAAGCAAAAAGCUUGUAGAAUUCUUCAAAGGUACAAUCUUUAUCACGAUUUCUAUCUAAAUACAAAGGGAUCCUCGGUGGGAAUCGAAAUAAUUUUAAUUUUUCGCUGUGCAUGUAUAAGUAGAUUCCCAACAGUGGUAUCAGAGCCUACUUUGUGUUUGUUAAAAAUUGCUUUACAUAUUGGAACAAUUAAAUGUUAAUUGUUUUUUUCUUGUUUUAGUGAUUAAGGAAAUAAAUAAUUUUUCAUGCUCAAAAUCAGAUUUUGAAUAGAAAUUAUUUUUGGAUUGGAAUAAUAUAUGAAACUAAAUAAAAAAAAGGUUCGAGAUGGGUACAACCAGCGGCAACGAUUGCUGGUUGCCGCCGGCAGAGGCAGCCGGCAGCAACAACGUCCUUGGCCGCUGCCCAGAAGGCAGCGUCGGGCGUUGCUGAUGCCUCAGUAGCAGUGCCCGACGCUGUUGCUGAAACGGCGUGCGACACUGCAGCGCACGCCCAUCUGGCAAGCAGCGUCGCACGCCCAUCUGGCAACAGCUUGGGCUGCUACUGCCAAACCACUUUUUUUUCUUUUGCACCGUCGGCACCUGGAAGAAGAAGAAAACAAAAAAAAAAUAUUUCAGGUGAAUAUUUUAGGGUUUCUCUGUGUCUGUUGGAGUUUGGAGACGGGGGUCUCUCCGCAAUUAGUGUGAUUGUGGGGGCUUGUCUGCAAUUAUGUAAAAGGGGUCAAAUGCAAUUUUUUUAAAGAAGGACCUAUUCUAUAAUUUGUAAGACAUGGAGGUCUUGAUUGUAAUUUCUAAUUGGGUCAACUUGCAAUUUCAAAAGGUG
rnacentral:lncRNA from 1 species